rnacentral:misc_RNA from 1 species
GUAGCAGGAAUUCUGGCACUUCAUUUAUUAUUUGACGUUUGCUCGUUCUGUUCCAUCGGUCGCCAGGGUUCCGAUUUUUCUUUAUAUCUAGAAAUCCUAUUAAUAAAUUAGGAAAUCACCAGUAAUGGUCUACAUAUUUCUUAGAAUUGCCUCAUCGGCGUACAGGAAAGGAGGCCCUGUAAAGAAUGCAAGUCGAGCAUACGCAACCACCCAUGAUGCCGACUUAGUGGUGAUUGGUUCGGGCCCUGGCGGCUAUGUUGCCGCUAUUAAAGCAGCGCAACUGGGAUUUAAGACAGUGUCAGUUGAAAAGGACCCUACUCUCGGUGGUACCUGCCUUAAUGUUGGCUGCAUUCCAUCAAAGGCUUUGCUCCAUAAUUCUCACUUAUACCAUAUGGCCAAACAUGACUUCAAACAACGAGGCAUUGAGACUGGCCCAGUCUCCUACAACUUUGAUAAAAUGAUGGAAUACAAAAGAAAUGCUGUUAAGGCUCUGACAGGAGGGAUUGCCAUGCUAUUCAACAAGAACAAGGUGAAACUUGUCCGAGGAGUAGGAACCAUUAUUGACCCUAAGAAGGUGCAAGUGAAGGGAGAAAAGGGAGUAGAAACAAUUAACACAAAACACAUUUUAAUCGCGACUGGCUCUGAGGUGACGCCAUUCCCUGGUGUAACGUUCGAUGAAGACCAAAUAAUUGACUCUUCCGGAGCGCUUUCUCUUAAAUCUGUUCCUAAAAAAAUGUUAGUCAUUGGCGCCGGCGUCAUUGGUUUGGAGCUUGGAUCUGUGUACCAAAGACUAGGUGCUGAAGUAACAGCCAUCGAGUUCCUUGGUACAAUUGGAGGUGUCGGAAUUGAUUUUGAAGUUGCUAAAACUUUGCAAAAGAUUCUUGCAAAGGAGGGAAUGAAGUUCAAGCUCAACACGAAAGUAACUGGAGUUAAGAAAAGUGGUGGCAAGGUUAUAGUAGAUAUUGAAGCUGCCAAAGGUGGAUCUAAGGAAACUUUGGACUGUGAUGUUGUUCUGAUCUCCAUUGGCCGUCGGCCAUACACCACGGACCUGGGUCUCAAGAACGUUGGUAUUGCCCUGGAUGACCGUGGCCGUGUGCCUGUCAACAACAAAUUCCAAACCACUGUGCCUGGAAUUUACGCCAUUGGUGAUUGCAUUCAUGGACCCAUGUUGGCCCAUAAGGCUGAAGAUGAAGGAAUUGUAUGCGUGGAGGGAAUUAAGGGUAUGUCAGUACACUUCAACUAUGACGCGAUACCAUCUGUAAUUUACACGACACCCGAAGUCGGCUGGGUCGGCAAAUCGGAGGAGGAUCUCAAGAAAGAGGGCAGGGCAUACAAGGUGGGCAAGUUCCCGUUCCUGGCUAACUCAAGAGCGAAGACUAACGGCGAGCCAGAAGGCUUCGUCAAAGUCUUGUCUGACAAGACGACAGAUGUAAUCCUCGGCACCCACAUCAUUGGACCCGGCGGCGGUGAGCUGAUCAACGAGGCAGUGUUGGCGCAAGAGUACGGAGCGGCCGCUGAGGACGUCGCCCGUGUAUGCCACGCACAUCCCGUCAGUAUUCUUAUAAUUAUCAUUCUUUUACUGUCCGACUCAUGAAUGACUAGUGGACAUUUUAUUACCUAUAUCGAGAUAAGGAGAUGUCAUUAUAUCGAGAUCAAGAUAUCAUUGUUUUUAAUCACCAAUCAAUCAAGACCAAUUUGUUAACAGAUGUGUCGAGACACCAGCAAUGCUUUAACCACUGGUCCACCACAAAAUUCUUUAAUUUAGCCUUUAUCAUUUGAUUUACCCAAGAAAAUGCCAAUGGCUAUUUUUAUGUAUGUUUAAUAUAUUUUACAUGUUUAUUUCAGACAUGCGCGGAAGCUCUACGUGAAGCGAACAUGGCUGCAUACUUUGGAAAAGCAAUCAAUUUCUAGUUUUAGAAAUAGUGUCUGAUCAUUAAUUUGACCCACUCAAA